rnacentral:rRNA from 1 species
UACAGAGGGGGCUAGCGUUGUUCGGAAUUACUGGGCGUAAAGAGUGCGUAGGCGGUCUUGUAAGUUAGGUGUGAAAUCCUCGAGCUCAACUCGAGAACUGCAUCUAAAACUACUUGACUUGAAUAUGAGAGAGGGUAAUGGAAUUCCUGGUGUAGGGGUGAAAUCCGUAGAUAUCAGGAGGAACGUCAGGGGCGAAGGCGAUUACCUGGACCAUCAUUGACGCUGAGGCACGAAAGCGUGGGGAGCAAACAGG